CAGAUGCACAAGGCAGGCGACCCAUCCUGGCUGUGAAAGGGAGCAGGGGCUUGGCUGGGUGUGGGCAGGGCCUAGCGCUGCCAUCUCCUGCACUGUUUCCACAAAUGUAACCAGAGGACUUCGGGGAAUCAAAAAUGAAUCAGAGUCAGCUCCAGCUCUCAGGAGUAUGCAGUGUAGUACAAUAGAAGAGAUGUGCAUAGAGAGUGCUCAUGUUGGAGCUCUGUAGAGUUCUCCGGUUUGGAGCUGAAGCACCUUUGGGAUCUCCUGGACCGCCAAACAAACAGCCGAGAGGGCUGAAGCUUCCCUGUCCCUGUACUCUGGAUCAUUCAGAGAUCCAGCCACCUCUGCCAAAGCCCCACCUGUGAC